rnacentral:rRNA from 1 species
UAUUGGACAAUGGGCGAAAGCCUGAUCCAGCAAUGCCGCGUGAGUGAUGAAGGCCUUAGGGUUGUAAAGCUCUUUUACCCGGGAUGAUAAUGACAGUACCGGGAGAAUAAGCUCCGGCUAACUCCGUGCCAGCAGCCGCGGUAAUACGGAGGGAGCUAGCGUUGCUCGGAAUUACUGGGCGUAAAGCGCACGUAGGCGGCUUUGUAAGUUAGAGGUGAAGGCCUGGAGCUCAACUCCAGAAUUGCCUUUGAUACUGCAUCGCUUGAAUCCAGGAGGGGUGAGUGGAAUUCCGAGUGUAGAGGUGAAAUUCGUAGAUAUUCGGAAGAACACCAGUGGCGAAGGCGGCUCACUAGUCAGUAUUGACGCUGAGGUGCGAAA